UACGAAGGGGGCUAGCGUUGCUCGGAAUCACUGGGCGUAAAGGGUGCGUAGGCGGGUCUUUAAGUCAGGGGUGAAAUCCUGGAGCUCAACUCCAGAACUGCCUUUGAUACUGAAGAUCUUGAGUUCGGGAGAGGUGAGUGGAACUGCGAGUGUAGAGGUGAAAUUCGUAGAUAUUCGCAAGAACACCCGUGGCGAAGGCGACGUGCUGGGCUGAACCUGACGCUGAGAUGCGAAAGUGUGGGGAGCAAACGGG
rnacentral:rRNA from 1 species